rnacentral:rRNA from 1 species
UACAGAGGUCUCAAGCGUUGGUCGGAUUCAUUGGGCGUAAAGGGUGCGUAGGCGGUCGGGUAAGUCUGACGUGAAAUCUCCAAGCUCAACUUGGAAAUGGCGUCGGAUACUAUUCGGCUCGAGGAAUGGAGGGGAGACUGGAAUACUUGGUGUAGCAGUGAAAUGCGUAGAUAUCAAGUGGAACACCAGUGGCGAAGGCGAGUCUCUGGACAUUUCCUGACGCUGAGGCACGAAAGCCAGGGGAGCAAACGGG